GAAGUGUACAAACAGAAUAGGAACUUUGUAAAACCUGAAGACAAAACAGAGAAAAAAGAACACUGCCAACAGAAAAACAACACAAAAUUAAAAAUCAAUUUAGUUUCAGCCAAAACUCUCAGUAAUUUAUAGAUUGAAUACU
rnacentral:lncRNA from 1 species